AGACGCAAGUCGAGCGGUUUGCCGUGAUCCCUGGUCUUUUACGGCUAGGGCGCAGCGGCGGCCUGUCCGUGAACGUUUGAGUUCUGGACGGAGCUUGAGCGUACGUGCUAGAACCCGAAAGGUGAUGACCUAUGCCUGGGCAAGACGAGGCCAGAGGAAACUCUGGUGGAGGUCUGAAGCGAUUCUGACGUGCAAAUCCAUCGUCUGACCUGGGUAUAGCGGCGAAAGACUCAUCGAAUCACCUAGUAGCUGGUUCCCACCGAAGUUUCCCUCAGGAUAGCUGGCGCUCAAUGCAUGGCAGUCUCAUCCGGUAAAGCGAAUGAUUAGAGGUCUUGGGGUCGGAACGAUCUCNACCUAUUCUCAAACUUUCAACGGGUGAGUCGCUUGACUUUCUUAAUUGAAGGACGGGCACGCGAUGCGAGUGCCCAGUGGGCCGUUUUUGGUAAGCAGAACUGGCGCUGUGGGAUGAACCAAACGUCGAGUUAAGGUGCCCGAUG
rnacentral:rRNA from 1 species